UGUUCUUUAUACAAAGAAUAAUUUCUGCAAGCCGAAUUUUCUUGAGGAGCCGUUUUACGCUAAGGUAGCGUAAUAAAUCGUUUGUUAAUUGCAAACCAGAAUGAAAGAAUGAAUCUCGCUGUACUUCCUUUCAUAAACUUUUAAAAAUUAACGGAGAUUAAAAAAUUUCUCUUUUGCUAAAAGACGAGAAGACCCUUGGAGUUUUCUUUUUAUUGUUUUUUGGGGAAAAUGAUUCUUCUUAAUCUAGGAUAUAAUAAAUUUAAAAACAUUUACUUAAAUUAACUAACUACCCAAGGGAUAACAGAGCAAAUUUAGAUAUUGGAUCUGAGAAAAUCUAGAGAAUGCCACCUCGAUGUUGGAUUCUCUAAGCCUUUGGGAGCAGUAUUUCACAGGUGAACAAACUGUUCGUUUGAAUAAAGAG
rnacentral:rRNA from 1 species